rnacentral:rRNA from 1 species
GGACCCUUUCGGGGUCAUAUACCUAGUGGCAGACGGCUGAGUAACGCGUGAGUGACCUGCCCUGGAGAGGGGGAUAACACAGGGAAACCUGUGCUAAUACCGCGUACGCUCAUCAUCGUAAAGGUUGAUGAGGAAACGAAUUUCGCUCUAGGAGGGGCUCGCGUCCUAUCAGGUAGUUGGUGGGGUAAUGGCCUACCAAGCCGAAGACGGGUACCUGGUGUGAGAGCACGACCAGGCAGAGGGGGACUGAGACACGGCCCCCACUCCUACGGGAGGCAGCAGCAGGGAAUCUUCCACAAUGGGCGAAAGCCUGAUGGAGCGACGCCGCGUGGGGGAUGAAGGUUUUCGGAUCGUAAACCCCUUUUCUCAGGGAAGAGUAAGGACGGUACCUGAGGAAUAAGCAUCGGCUAACUACGUGCCAGCAGCCGCGGUAAUACGUAGGAUGCAAGCGUUGUCCGGAAUCACUGGGCGUAAAGGGUCCGUAGGCGGUUUGUUAAGUCUCCUGUGAAAUUUCAGGGCUCAACCCUGAAAGGUCGGGGGAUACUGGCAAACUUGAGACUGUCAGAGGCAAGUGGAAUUCCCGGUGUAGUGGUGAAAUGCGUAGAUAUCGGGAGGAACACCAGUGGCGAAAGCGGCUUGCUGGGACAGUUCUGACGCUGAGGGACGAAAGCGUGGGUAGCAAACCGGAUUAGAUACCCGGGUAGUCCACGCCCUAAACGAUGGAUGCUAGGUUUGCGGGGUAUCGACCCCCUGUGAGCCGUAGGUAACCCGUUAAGCAUCCCGCCUGGGACUACGACCGCAAGGUUAAAACUCAAAGGAAUUGACGGGGGCCCGCACAAGCAG